rnacentral:rRNA from 1 species
AGCUCGUAGUUGGAUUUCGGAUGGGUUUGACCGGUCCGCCGUUUCGGUGUGCACUGGUCGUACCUAUCUUGCUGUCGGGGACGCGCUUCUGGCCUUAAUUGGCUGGGACGCGGAGUCGGCGAUGUUACUUUGAAAAAAUUAGAGUGUUCAAAGCAGGCCUAAGCUCUGAAUACAUUAGCAUGGAAUAACGCUAUAGGACUCUGGUCUUAUUGCGUUGGUCUUCGAGACCGGAGUAAUGAUUAAGAGGGACAGUUGGGGGCAUUCGUAUUUCAUUGUCAGAGGUGAAAUUCUUGGAUUUAUGAAAGACGAACUUCUGCGAAAGCAUUUGCCAAGGAUGUUUUCAUUAAUCAAGAACGAAAGUUGGGGGCUCGAAGACGAUCAGAUACCGUCCUAGUCUCAACCAUAAACGAUGCCGACUAGGGAUUGGCGGAUGUUAAUUCGAUGACUUCGCCAGCACCUUAUGAGAAAUCAAAGUUUUUGGGUUCCGGGGGGAGUAUGGU